rnacentral:rRNA from 1 species
AUUGAACGCUGGCGGCAGGCCUAAUACAUGCAAGUCGAGCGGAGCUGCGGACGGGCGAGUAAUGCCUAGGAAUCUGCCUUGCAGUGGGGGAUAACGUCCGGAAACGGGCGCUAAUAUCGUAUACUAUCAGAUGAGCCUAGGUCGAAUUAGCUAGUUGGAUGGGUAAAGUCCUACCAAGGCGAUGAUCCGUAACUGAUCUGAGAGGAUGAUCAGUCACACUGGAACUGAGACACGGUCCAGACUCCUACGGGAGGCAGCAGUAGGGAAUAUUGGACAAUGGGCGAAAGCCUGAUCCAGCCACGCCGCGUGUGUGAAGAAGGUCUUCGGAUUGUAAAGCACUUUAAGUUGGGAAGCGUUACCAACGGAGUAAGCACCGGCUAACUUCGUGCCAGCAGCCGCGGUAAUUC